GAAAUGCGAUAAGUAAUGUGAAUUGCAGAAUUCAGUGAAUCAUCGAAUCUUUGAACGCACAUUGCGCCCCCUGGUAUUCCGGGGGGCACGCCUGUUCGAGCGCCAUUUCAACCCUCAAGCCUGGCUUGGUGAUGGGCCUCCGCCGCACGGCGGGCCCGAAACGCGUAGGGCGCCGCGGUGGUUUGGGCUCUGAGCGUAGCAAGAGUGAACCUCCCUCGCUCCGGAGACCCCUUCCGCGGCCGCCUGGACGACCCCACGAACUUUCGUAAGGUUGGCCUCGGAUCAGGCGGGGAUACCCGCUGAACUUAA
rnacentral:misc_RNA from 1 species